GGUUAAGCGACUAAGCGUACACGGUGGAUGCCUAGGCAAUCAGAGGCGAUGAAGGACGUGCUAAUCUGCGAUAAGCGUCGGUAAGGUGAUAUGAACCGUUACAACCGACGAUUUCCGAAUGGGGAAACCCAGUGCAAUUCGUUGCACUAUCGUUUGAUGAAUACAUAGUCAAACGAAGCGAACCGGGGGAACUGAAACAUCUCAGUA
rnacentral:ncRNA from 1 species